GGAUCAUUGUCAUUAGUUUCUCGAGUAUCUAAUUACCACAGUUACUUGCCCGGUUCUAUGGUAAUCGUAUUUGCACUAGCCAAUAUCUUCUCUGUUGCAUAACGACGACGUGUAAUCCAAACGAAGAUUCGCUUCGCGCCCCUAACCCUAAUUCUAAUGUAAACCCGACAUAUAUAAAACACUAUAUUUUGUAAAUAUCUGUAUAGUAAAAUAGUCUGUCCACUAUCUUGUUUGCUAAGACCACUUCGUCAACGUUGGAUUAUUUGUUAUGGCGUCACAAAUUUUUCCUUGAUUUUCCAGUUUCUUGUUGCCGUCUUGACUGUUUCGGUAGUAUCUGGUUCAGUAUUCCAUAAGUAUUCACUUUACUUUGGUAGUAGGUUUCUUGUAACUGCGUCGGCUUUAAUGUAUAUCUUCCGAUGCGAGUAACGAGCUUCUUAUUAUUAUCAAUUUCUAUUCCAAGAUGGUUUACAACAUUCUUCCCCUUUUUAGGUUAUGAUUGGUUACCUCGGUAUUUAUUACCUUCGAUAUCUUCAUACCGUCGUAUAUUAUGUUUUGCAAAGUUGGAUCCGUAGCCCAUUCUCGUGGAGUUCCUGCGUGCACAUUUCCUUUAACGAUGAUUGGUUGCAUACAAAUCUCGUUAACUUAUAAGAUACCUUUUCUUGUUUGCUAAGACCAUUCCGUCGGUGUUGAAUAGUUUGUUAUAAUGUCACUAAUUUUUGACUUUCCAAUUUUCUCACGUCUUCUCGAUCAUUCCAGUAAUAUCAACUUCGAUUCUUCGUACACAUUUACUCCAAUUUAGUAGUUGGUUUCUCAUCACUGCGUUGACCCUUGUAUAAACUUCUUCGAUCUGGCUGUCGUAGAUUAUGUUCUACGGGUAUGAACAAAUAACCUAUCUUCGCACAUACACUUCCUUCUACGAUGAGUAAUUGUUCACGAGGUAUUUUCCACUUCCACUGUUUUGUAAUUAUUUUAUUGAAUUACACAUUUUAUAUUUAAGUAAUAGUUAGAGCACGCAUAGUAAUUUUCCUUUUUCCUUUUAGGUUACCACUAUCUGCAGUAUUCGACAAGCAGUAUUGUUCCAUAUACUACCGUACUACGUUGUCUCUUGAAAUCGUACUUGUGGUCUGUUUCGAUUGUGUUAGUUUUAACUUGUUCCAGUGUAUUGUUCGUGGAAUCCCUUUUACUUUAAUCUUGACGUUUCGUGUGUGGAUUCUGACAAUAGUGCCUGGUUUAUUGAAGUGUGUUAAUAUGCCUAGGUGUUUUAUAUAUUUUAUAUCUAGUUGUAUAUAAGAUAUAUUUUGUUUAUUGUGGUUUUGUAUGUCCAUAUUUGCUGUAUAUUAAAUUGCUUGAUAUUU